UUCAUCAUUUCAUUCCUUUCUCUAUUAAAGUCUUCUUCUUGUUUUAUUCUCUGUUUCAGAAAUCAGUGACCUAACCUUCCCCAUAAAUAUGAGGUUUUUCUCUAAAACCUAAAAUUUCCUAUGAGAAUUCAAUAAUUAAGGAAAAUAAAAACUAGUAAAAACAGAAAAGAAACAUAAAAAAUAAAAUCCAAAAUAUAACAAGUAAACCCUCCAGAAAUUUCAUCACACUUGUUUUCCUUUUUUUAUUCUUUUAUUUUCCAUCUUCUAGAAAUGAGGGUUGAAGGGCUAAUCAAAUACAAAUGGAAGAAAAAUAAACUAAUCGCACCAAAAACAAAAAAAAAAUAAAACUUUAAUCUUCUAUCUCUAUCAUUUCAAUCCUUUCUCUCUUAAAGUCUUCCGCUGCUGAAACUGUUUUGCUUCUUGUUUUAUCCUAUACCUCAGAAAUCAGUGGGCUAACCUUUCCCAAAAAAGAUGAAGUUUUUCUCCUCAGAUAAACUAUAAUGUAUAGUCACCUCCUUUUGUUUCGCACUCAUUUUUCUUAUUCGGUUCUUUCUCGUUUCUUGUACCUGGAGGAAUGAUAUGAAAUGUUGAGCAUUUAAAUAUUGGAAAAUUGGCUCCAAACUUCAUAUUUCAAAUUUCAUUGUGUACAUAUAUGUUACAGACUUGUCUUCUUUGACACAAUUAAGGUCCU
rnacentral:lncRNA from 1 species